UAGGGAAUCUUCGGCAAUGGACGGAAGACUGACCGAGCAACGCCGCGUGAGUGAAGAAGGUUUUCGGAUCGUAAAGCUCUGUUGUUAGAGAAGAACGUUGGUAGGAGUGGAAAAUCUACCAAGUGACGGUAACUAACCAGAAAGGGACGGCUAACUACGUGCCAGCAGCCGCGGUAAUACGUAGGUCCCGAGCGUUGUCCGGAUUUAUUGGGCGUAAAGCGAGCGCAGGCGGUUAUUUAAGUCUGAAGUUAAAGGCAGUGGCUUAACCAUUGUAAGCUUUGGAAACUGGAGGACUUGAGUGCAGAAGGGGAGAGUGGAAUUCCAUGUGUAACGGUGAAAUGCGUAGAUAUAUGGAGGAACACCGGUGGCGAAAGCGGCUCUCUGGUCUGUAACUGACGCUGAGGCUCGAAAGCGUGGGGAGCAAACAGG
rnacentral:rRNA from 1 species